UCUCUCAUAUUCCUUUACCUCCUCGGAGAACACGAUCCAGUUGUUCUCUCUACUCGUCCGCAACGAGAGGCCAUGCGCGCAAAAAAUGGCUCCAUAAUUCUUUGGUUGAAGUAGGAUCUUCGAGUCCGAGUCGACGAUCAUCCAUGGUUCCUCCCUACGUCUUUGGUUGAAGUUUUUUCUUUGGUUGAAUGAGGAUCUUCGAGUCCGAGUCGACGAUCAUCUGGGCCUUGUAGCCGAACCAGAGUAUCGUGGCCGUGGUUCCUCCCUACGUCCUCGAUCACGGAUUCUUUUUCGUGCGUAUGCUUCUUCUGAUUUGUCUUGUAUUCCUCGUUUUUUUCUCCUUGUGUUGUAGGUUUUUCUUUGUCUUAUAUUCCAACUCUAAUGUCUUGUUAAAACCUAGAAUCAGAAGAACCCGAUUUUUGCUUUUAGGAGAUCGCUCUCCUUCAGAUUCUCUUAUCUCCAUCUGCUCAUCUGAGCAAGUUCUCUGUUCGACCAAGCAAGGAGAGGCAAUAAGCUAAAGAAUGGCUAGGUAAUUAUCUUGUUCAGCUAGGAUCUCCGAGUCUUCUACUAUCCUGGCCUUGUAGCCGGCAAGGCAAUGCGCCGAGAGUUAGCUAUAGAAGUUAUUUUUGGCACACCUAGGGAGGUAUCCGGUUCUUUGCUAGCUUUAGUUAUAUAAUAAGAUCUUUUAAAUAUCACCAUCGUGAGAAUAUUUUCGUUAACUGCAUAAUUAAGUGUCUAUAUUGUUCUAUGUUUUUUCUCUUUAACAUGUCCUUCAACGUCUAGACAGACUUGUAUACCACUCUUGGGCCUUUAGCGGAUGCUGUUGGAGCAGAACCGGAUCAGGGAAAGUUGGGGAGUGCUGGACCAUUUUGUAGGGUGAGAAAAGAACACAGAAGAUGGAAGAAUGAAAAUGCACACAGAGUGGAGGAGGAUUGCGCCUUGUGCCUUAAGUAGCCCUUGUGCUUUUAAUUACACUGCUUGGAGAUGAGCUUGGCUCUAUAGAUUAUCAUCUCUAUGAUCCUUGUAACUUUUCUUUAAUUUAGGGUGUCUGACUAUGAAUUCUGAACUCUGCUUCUUGUUUUAGAAGCUGGACAUCUCUUGAUUCAUGGCUGCUCUCCCCACCUCACCGCCAAAUGUCUACAAGGCACUGGUUUUAAAUAUCAUCCAGACCUUAUAAUUGGCAAAGGUUUAACAUAGACUUUUCUUGUUUAUCCUUUUCUUCUAGCCAUUUAUCAUUGCGUUUUAAUUUUUUGCAGUUUUUUUUUCAACAUAAUUUGUAUGUGAUGUGAUAGGAUAAGAACCUGGAUGAUUCAAUGUAGGAUAGGGGUAGUGCCAAUCAAAUUAAGAUGCAAGAAAAUAUGCUAAGAUAGCUUUGGCAUUACAAUGUAGAAGAAAUUAUUGUGGUAUUGCGUAGAGUUGAAAAGAAUAUAAGUAGGAUGUACUGGUUAUAAGAAAAGGCAUGGACUCUAUAGACUCUAUAGAAUAGAUGAAAUUGUAUAUCUUGAUAAGAACAAAUGGCAAAGGAAAACUCAUGGCAUGGAUGGGUUCAUGUAGCCUACCCUUCACAUAUUGAUUAUGAAUUUAUGAUGGUUUGGGUUUGGGAUAAGACUUUGAUGAUGAUGAAUGUGAUUGCUGUUUGCAAUGGAACUGCAUUUGCAUGAUUAUUUAUCCAUACCUUAUGCCUCAUUUAUCUUUCAAAAUUGCGCUGUACUCUGGUAUCAUCUCUUGGAACAUUCUAGUGGUAACAGAAGGGUUGCGAAGUCAUACAAUAGUUUUGCAAUGUUCGAGUCUGCAUUGUUUGGGGGUCUGAAAUUCAUUUUUGGUGGAUAUAAGCAUUGCCACACGGAAUGCACAUGUGUACUGUAAAAGAGAAAGUGCUAUGUUUCCAUUGUUUUGGGAAAAAGGUAAAAAAAGUAUGGGUCUCUUGCUUUUUUCCCCUCAUUGUUGAAUUAGUUUGAUUUUUUAACCAAAGCUUUGUCUCAUUGUCUGCAUUUUGGAGCUGAUUUUGAUUUCGUGGGUGCUAUAUUUGCACCUUUAGCAAAUCAAAUUCACUCUAGUAAGAUGCUAUUUGUCUUCUAACAAUUUUGCCUGGUUUUAAGUUUUUGAUUCUUGCAAUGAUUAAAUGGCUAGUUAGCAACAUCUUGUGUGGAUGUAUCUCGACUCCUGCAGUCUUUAUAUUCGAAGUCUUGUCUAUGGUAUUUUUUUUGGAUUGAAUUUUGUAUGUAUGUAAGUAUAUAUAUACACGCGUAUAUAUUUGCAUUUAAGUCAUUAUCAUACCCCCAAACUUAUAUAUACAUACAUAUAUAUUUGCAUUCAAGUCAUUAUCAUACCCCCAAACUUUUAUGAGGCAGCUUUCAAGCUUGUUCUUUCAUCUCCUUGAAAAGCAUCAUAUUAUAAUCUUCUUCGCCAACUUCAUUGCACAUUUUGCUUCAGGCAUUACCCAAUUAAAGAUAUUGGCUGGAAAUUUACGCAGUUUGAUUCUGUUUCUUCAAUAUGAUAAAGGGCAAUAUUAAUCUGCUUUCUGGACUUGCUGAGGCAAUGGGAUAGCGAGGUUGGUAUAUGAACAAGGUUGGUAUUUCCCUAACUCUGAACAUUAUUUGAUCAUGGAAAAAUAUAUGAGAUCAGGCAUAUUAGCUGUCAAAAUUUGUUUAUGUUGAGUUGAUAAAACUAAAGAAUGAUAUGUGAACUUGCGAGACCGUGCCACAUGUUUAAAAAGUUGUAAACAAAGUAACAUCUAAGAUUAACAAGGAACUGUUGGCACGGUAUACUCAUUAAGACUUGAAUCAGUGAUGUCAUAAAAAUUUGUUUGAAGACACUAGUUGUUCGGCACCAUAAGGUCCAUAUUUAUGAUUUAAAAACCUAAUCAAGAUAGAAUUUAUAUUUUUUUACUAAUUUCGAGAAGAUCUCACCAAUAUAACAUGCCCUUCGUAACCUCUCAAGGAUUUGUUAGGAAUUUGGGAACUUGUGUUGCCAAGUGUUCUCUUAGUGAGAUAAUAAUGCCCCCUCUUUGAUCCAUCCGUGCUCUAACCUUGCCAAUCGAAACACAUCAUAAGAUCUGUCCAGCCCAGUACCCUACUUAAUGUUGAUGCUGUUUUGAAAUUGUUUCAUUUUCUUUGCUAGUAGAGGGAUUUCUGUAGUUUUUACUCAAAAGUUUUUCUUGAAUUUGAAAAUUAUGUCUGUCUACAAUUGUUUUAUGGUGUACUUCAUCUGCCAUUGUAAAGAAAUCUGUGUUCAAAAGUUUACUAGCAGAACUUUUAAAGGAUUAGUAGACAUAACCUACUGUUAAGCUAUUACCCUUCCUGGCUUUUAUUUAUACACCUCGAAGGUUGAGUCGUCAAUAUAUGUUCUGUUCGAUGCUGUUUCUGUAAUGGUUAUCAUGAUCAUUAGCCAUGCUCCACAUUAACACUAUUGCAUCCGUGAUGUGCCAUAUGCUCUUAUAUAACUUCUUAUGCUGGUUUCACAACGAAAAAGCUUGAAAGCUCCAGUUUUGCAAUGUUGCAUGGGAUGCUUUCGCAGUAGGGUAUUUUGCUAGAAUAGAUAGACCUGUGUAGGGGCACGUAUUUUCACCAUCCUUUUGAGCACUUGUGUUUAGGUUGCAUGUUUCUGUGUAGUGUCAUGUAUCUAAUGUGAAUGGUGUCAUCAUAGUAACAAACUUAGCUUCUUCUGGCCGUAUGUUUGGAGUGGCUUCGUAUUUUGAUACCAAGCACUGAUUUGAGUGGCUGAGCAUAUUUAGAACUGCAAUCUAGAUAUUAGCUUCUAUUAAGAAAAUAAAUGUAAAGAUUGGUAACACAGCUAAAUUAUUGGAGAUGCAACAAAAAUAGGCCUCGAAGUUCAGAGAGCCGAAAUUAAUAAGAGGCCAUAGUAGUUGAUCAUAGUCCAUUGAACAAUCUAAUUGUUUUUUUCUCUCACAUAGGAAAAAAAGUGACGAAUAAAGAUGACUGGCGCCAUGCCAAACUGAAUAUCAAAUUGGCUCGCAGAGAACACGGUUUACCUGGGAAGAGAUGAACUUGUCAUGUUUUUUUGCGUCUGCUGUAUAUUUUGUCUUUUGGGUGAGUUUAAUUGUGUUAAUUUUUGGUUAUUUAAGGUGUGGUUAAAUAUUUUUAAAUUUA